rnacentral:rRNA from 1 species
AGCAGUAGCCGCGGGAAUACGAAGGGGGCUAGCGUUGCUCGGAAUUACUGGGCGUAAAGGGAGCGUAGGCGGAUCGUUAAGUUGGGGGUGAAAGCCCGGGGCUCAACCUCGGAACUGCCUUCAAUACUGGCGAUCUUGAGUAUGAGAGAGGUGUGUGGAACUCCGAGUGUAGAGGUGAAAUUCGUAGAUAUUCGGAAGAACACCAGUGGCAAAGGCGACACACUGGCUCAUUACUGACGCUGAGGCUCGAAAGCGUGGGGAGCAAACAGGAUUAGAGACCCCUGUAGUCCCUGUCUCUUAUAC